CCGCACCUUCGUCCUGUCAUAAUGGUGACCGCGCUUGCAGUUGCAGCGAUUCGGAUAUCCUCGAAAAGCUCGAAACUUUGAUCUCCACGAAUUCCCUAAAACGCCCACCUUCUUCACUCGCUCGACACUCGCUCGACACUCGCUCUCGCUCCGGGCGGGACAGCUCGAGAAGGGCAAAGUUCGAUUCUUUUCCCACACAAGAGCUCGACGUCGGAUGGAGAAAUCCGGGUACGGCCGCGACGGCAUCUACCGGUCGCUCCGGCCGUCCCUGGCG
rnacentral:lncRNA from 1 species